UUAAAGUUGGGGAGAAAGCUCAAUACCAAAGACUUAAAAGGGGCGGAGUUUGGGAACCUAAGCCGACAGCAUGGGGUGGUGGCGUCGGAGCUCCGGAACUUGCGAUCUUACUCCGAUGGCGGCGCGAUUUCCACGAGGGUGAAGGACAGUCGAGAUGAAUGACAUAAGACAUGAUCCUCUGUUUCACGAUGAGUUCGCGACCUGGAGAGGGUGAAAACCUGAGAGAAAGAGAAGGCCGACGGCAACGAAGAUACCAAGGCGACAACUAGGCUGUGAUGAAGGUUGCACGAUCUGUUUUCACCAUGAAGCAAUUUCUGUUGCAGCAGCGGCGUGACGGCGAUGUGAGUGUUGACGACGGUGGCUUGGUGAGAUGAAGACGAUGACACUAUGCGAUGACAGUGCUAUCCAAGACUAUGCAAGGCCAACCGUUCCACAAUCUGUGUGCAAUCGACGCGCUUUCUAUUGGUGAAGGGGCGCGAUUCAAACGGGAGGAAGGCUUUGAAUUCCAACUCGGCAAGGAAGGUGGAAAAAUUCUUGGAAGAAAAAUUGAAAGAUUUGAAGUUUGGGUGUUGGGAAGUUAGGGCCUUCCUAUGAAGUAAUGCAAGAGAUUUUGUUGUAGAUACAUGAGCAACUUUAGUUUAAGCUUAUAUAUAUUGUAUAUUUCUUAUGGUGUGUUUUUAAUUUGGUUGCAUAUUAUGUAAGUUUCUUCUUUUAAAAAUGAUUAAAAUAAAAAUAUAUUCAUAUGGUUCCUUA